rnacentral:rRNA from 1 species
GACGAACGCUGGCGGCGUGCUUAACACAUGCAAGUCGAACGGGCUGAAGUGGUAGCUUGCUAUUAUGGAUGCUAGUGGCAAACGGGUGAGUAACGCGUAGGCAACCUGCCCUUCAGAUGGGGACAACACUUCGAAAGAGGUGCUAAUACCGAAUGACGUAUCCAUUCCGCAUGGAGAGGAUACCAAAGGCCGGGCAACCGGUCACUGAAGGAUGGGCCUGCGUCUGAUUAGCUAGUUGGUGGGGUAACGGCUUACCAAGGCGACGAUCAGUAGCCGGUCUGAGAGGAUGAACGGCCACAUUGGAACUGAGACACGGUCCAG